rnacentral:lncRNA from 1 species
UGUGGCUGGAAGGAGCUGGGCAUCCGGCCUGAGGCGCAGCGGUCGCGUUAGUUCGGCCCAAUGGCGGCACCGCUGCUUCACACGUUGUUUGUCGGGAGAUGCGGCCGCUUCGUCCUCUGCAGUCAAGACGCUGGGCGCGUCGAGGACUGGGAUUUCAAAUAUGCGUGCAUUAGAGAAUGAUUUUUUCAAUUCUCCCCCAAGAAAAACUGUUCGGUUUGGUGGAACUGUGACAGAAGUCUUGCUGAAGUACAAAAAGGGUGAAACAAAUGACUUUGAGUUGUUGAAGAACCAGCUGUUAGAUCCAGACAUAAAGGAUGACCAGAUCAUCAACUGGCUGCUAGAAUUCCGUUCUUCUGUCAUGUACUUGACAAAAGACUUUGAGCAACUUAUCAGUAUUAUAUUGAGAUUGCCUUGGUUGAAUAGAAGUCAAACAGUAGUGGAAGAGUAUUUGGCUUUUCUUGGUAAUCUUGUAUCAGCAUAGACUGUUUUCCUCAGACCGUGUCUCAGCAUGAUUGCUUCCCAUUUUGUGCCUCCCUGAGUGAUCAUUAAGGAAGGCGAUGUAGAUGUUUCAGAUUCUGAUGAUGAAGAUGAUAAUCUUCCUGCAAAUUUUGACACAUAUCACAGAGCCUUGCAAAUAAUAGCAAGAUAUGUACCAUCAUGAGUAUACUUUUCCUUAUUUUGAAUGUUUAAUUCUCAAGAAAAUUGUAAUCAAUUAGUAAAAAUUAUAAAAUGUUAAUAGUAUUAAAGCUUGAGUCUUACAUUGCAUUUUUUUUUUUGUAUCCACUUGAGGAAACAUUACAUUCUACAAAAAGUGGCAUUUCCAUUUUCUAUUUAUUCUCUUUAAUUGUUUUUCAAAGUUCGUAUGCAGAUUCUCCCCCAAUUUUGUAUGGUGGUUGGAAUUUUGUUUUUAUCUUCAACAGAUAUGCUAUCCAAAAUUUUUCAGUGAGAAACCCCUGGGUGUGUUUGUGUCAUGCCAUAUGAAUAAAAAUUGCACUUCUAAGAAAAGCU